UACGGAGGGUGCAAGCAUUAAUCGGAUUUAUUGGGCGUAAAGGGCGCGUAGGCGGUUUGGUAAGUCAGACGUGAAAUUCCGGGGCUCAACCUCGGAGCUGCAUUUGAAACUACUGAACUAGAGGGUAGGCGGAGAAAACGGAAUUCCACAAGUAGCGGUGAAAUGCGUAGAUAUCGGAAGGAACAUCAGUGGCGAAGGCGACUUUCUGGACAGAUACUGACACUGAGGCACGAAAGCAUGGGGAGCAAACGGG
rnacentral:rRNA from 1 species